AUGUGGAGACCCCCUGCCGCCCUGCCCAUCAGGGAGGAGAGGAAGGCUACAUCCCCGCGGUGUGCUGCCCCGUGCCUCACCUGGACGUCACAGGGGCCCCAGGACCCUCUCGCCACAGGCGGUGCUGUGGGGGGGGCAGGUGGGGCUGGGGGUGGCAGGAAGGUCGAAGUGCCUGGCUUCACUCUGGCCGGCCCCGCCUGUCCUCGGGCUCGUGGCUGGCCUUCUGGGGGGUGGCCACCAGGUGCAGGGAGCAGCAGUGUUCUGGGGUGCCCCCCAGCAGGCCGCUAUCCGUCAUCCCUCCCCUGUGCCCCUGCCUUGGGGCUGACCUGGGGGUUGCUGCAGUUCGUGAGGACGGGGAGAUUUGAGGAGGCUUGUCCUGGGCCGGGUGGGCAGUCGCGGACUUGGGACACCAUGUUCACCGCCUCCCCCGGGAGCCAUAGGGCGGCAUGGGGAGUGCGCGCAGUGGGACGUGGUUGUGGGGGCCGCCCGGAAGAGGCAUCACUAAGCAGCACGCAUCGGUGCAGGGCUCGGACCAUUGGACUCUGGGGCCCCGGGGCAUGGGAAGAGCGGGACAUAAACACCCCUGCUCGGGCUCCUGGUCCCCUCCACUGCCUUACUUGCUCACGGGCUGCUGACUCCUGCCGGCCAUCGCUUUGCCCCGGUCCUUGCCCUGGCAAAGUCUCCCUGGGCAGAAGCAGCUCGCCUGCAUCCCUGCACUGCGGCACCCCGCCCCUGCUCCCCCCACCCCGUGCUGGGGCCCGCAGGGGCAGGGGGGAGCAGGUGGGCUCGGGUGAUGGGUCCUGCCGUGACCGAAGCAGGUGCUCCCCGCACGGGGUCGUAAAGAGGGGUUGUCUUCUUGGGGUGUCGUGCUAGGCACGUGCCCCACCCCAGGCGGGGGGCAGGACGGCGGCCCCACCUCCAUGGCUGCCUGAGGCCAGAUCUAGGCCACUGCCCCGUUUAAAUGUAGGGCAGGGACUCCUGAACGAGAGCAGGGAGGACCAGUGCGGCACCCUGUCGCGGAGCACCCGCCCGUCCGCAUGAUACAGCAUGCGGGAGGCUGGCGUCCCCACGGCGUGCGCUCCGGCUUCUGCCCGGAGAGACGCACUCUGCUUCAUUCUUCAAGGCACAGCAGCCAGACGGGCGCCCUGAGGGGCAGCCUGCAAACAUCGUCGGUCACCUGGCGCGCGCUGGACGCCAGGCUGUUUCCCAGGCAGGCGGAGAUGCACAGGGGGUGGGUGUUGCACCCGGCACCUGCCGGCCUGGCCCGCGCCCGUGCCCCCGCCCGGAGAGUGAGGCCGCGCGGGCUGCUUUGCCCACCCAGCAGGCCCCGUGGGGGAAGGGCGGUGGGACGCUUGUCACCUGGAAUCGGGGUUUCCUCUGCCCCUCGGGAGGUCCUCGCCUGAGCUUCGUAUCAGGUUCCGAGGCCUGGGGAGCAGGCUGUGUGAACGCCCCCUGUGCUGCGUUACGGCGACAUGGAGCUGGGACGAGAGCCAGGGACUGGCCCCAGGCAGCGUGGGGCUGCUCAGCCAGGGUACUCCACCAGGGGCUCCUACUCCCACGUCCUCUCCCCACCCCCAGACGUCGGGGUGCCGUCAUCCCUGAAGACCCCGAGACAGGCCCUCCUGUGCCAGCGGCUCUUGGGGAGAGCCCUUCCAGCCGUCAGGGAGACGGACCCGGGCUGCCAGCCUGUAGCCCACCCUGGAGGCCGCCCACCUGCCUGGCAGGGCCUGCAGGGUCAGGGGUCGCUGGGGGUGCCAGGAAGCCGGUGCAGCUGCUAUAGCCGCUGCGAGGCUCGGGGGCAGCUCUGUGGCGGGUGGAGCGCUCCCUGCCGCUGCAGACCCUGCACAUCAGCACUGUUGGUGCGCGUCGGGCA
rnacentral:lncRNA from 12 species